rnacentral:misc_RNA from 1 species
GCUUCUCCCACUUUCAAUCAAAUUACUCAUCAUUUUCUUCCUCCUCCUCAUCAUUCACUUCAGAUUUAGACUUGUCUGAUUCGUCAUCUGCAUUUCCUCCACCAGCCAUUCUUUUAUUGUAAGCAGCCAUGUUUUUGUUGUAUUCAUUCUUUCUUUUCUCUGCUUUUGCUACAUAAGGAGCUUUCUCAGCCUCUGACAUAGAUUUCCACUUAUCUCCACCAGCCUUUCCGACAACGGCUACAGAUUUAUUGUUAGGAUGCUUCUCCUUAUACUCCUGCCUAAAUUCCUCCAUGAAAACGAAGAAAGCACUUGCAGGCCUCUUUGGCUUGUUGGGGUCCUUCCCCGCCUUCUUCGACGCUUUUUGGCCGCCGCCUGCACCAUUUACCUUCAACUUAGCGUCGAACUUGCUGGCAUUAGCAUUGGAUUUCCCACCUUUCAUGGCUAAACCUUACGUAUUUCAGAGGCAGAAGAGGAGGAGGAGAAAGAACGAAGAGACGCUGAGACGGAGGCCUUUGAGAAAAAUGCC